GGACAGAUGGCCGAGAUGGUUAUGGCGCCAGGUUAAGGUUAUACCUUAAUACAUGUGAUAUAUCAUCAUAUAGUUUCCUGGUCACGAAAGUGGCGUGGGUUCGAGUCCCACUCUGUUCAU
rnacentral:tRNA from 1 species